AUUCUUUAAAAAAAAAAAAAAAGAGAGAGAGGAAAUCUAGAAAAACACUUCUCUAGUUUUCGUAUCUGCAGCGUGGACUUUUUGCAGAAAGGUCUCAGAUCCUUUAUGCGCACUGAUAUUUGGUUCUG